UUGACUCGUAGAAUCAUCAACAGGCAGCUGCAUUGCAGCAUUAUUCUUUAGUUUGGCUAGAGUAUAGAGAGAUGUAUAGAGAGAAGACAGAGACACAAAGAGAGGUAAAGAGAGAGAGAGGAAGAGGUUGUAGCAUUAUUCUUUAGUUUGGCUAGAGUAUAGAGAGAUGUAUAGAGAGAAGACAGAGACACAAAGAGAGGUAAAGAGAGAGAGGAAGAGGUUGUAGCAUUAUUCUUUAGUUUGGCUAGAGUAUAGAGAGAUGUAUAGAGAGAAGACAGAGACACAAAGAGAGGUAAAGAGAGAGAGGAAGAGGUUGUAGCAUUAUUCUUUAGUUUGGCUAGAGUAUAGAGAGAUGUAUAGAGAGAAGACAGAGACACAAAGAGAGGUAAAGAGAGAGAGGAAGAGGUUGUAGCAUUAUUCUUUAGUUUGGCUAGAGUAUAGAGAGAUGUAUAGAGAGAAGACAGAGACACAAAGAGAGGUAAAGAGAGAGAGGAAGAGGUUGUAGCAUUAUUCUUUAGUUUGGCUAGAGUAUAGAGAGAUGUAUAGAGAGAAGACAGAGACACAAAGAGAGGUAAAGAGAGAGAGGAAGAGGUUGUAGCAUUAUUCUUUAGUUUGGCUAGAGUAUAGAGAGAUGUAUAGAGAGAAGACAGAGACACAAAGAGAGGUAAAGAGAGAGAGGAAGAGGUUGUAGCAUUAUUCUUUAGUUUGGCUAGAGUAUAGAGAGAUGUAUAGAGAGAAGACAGAGACACAAAGAGAGGUAAAGAGAGAGAGGAAGAGGUUGUACUGCAGUCUAAUUACAGGAGGCAUGGGUUCUCAUGUCAUUCCUGCUUAAUAAGGUUGUACCUUUUUAAUGAGGAACAAAUCCAUUCACAACUCAGCCUACAAAUCUGGCUGCAUAGUUUAGCACAUUAGUUUUAUCA